rnacentral:rRNA from 1 species
AUAUCAAUAAGCGGAGGAAAAGAAACUAACAAGGAUUCCCCUAGUAACUGCGAGUGAAGCGGGAAAAGCUCAAAUUUUGAAUCUGGCGGUCAUCUAGGCCGUCCGAAUUGUAAUCUAGAGAAGUGUCUUCUGCGCUGGCCCGUGUACAAGUCUCCUGGAAGGGAGCAUCAUAGAGGGUGAGAAUCCCGUCUUUGACACGGACUACCAGGGCUAUGUGAUGCACUCUCGACGAGUCGAGUUGUUUGGGAAUGCAGCUCAAAAUGGGUGGUAAAUUCCAUCUAAAGCUAAAUACAGGCGAGAAACCGAUAGUGAACAAGUACCGUGAGGGAAAGAUCAAAAGAACUUUGAAAAGAGAGUUAAACAGUAC